AUUGAACGCUGGCGGAAUGCUUUACACAUGCAAGUCGAACGGCAGCACGGGUGCUUGCACCUGGUGGCGAGUGGCGAACGGGUGAGUAAUAUAUCGGAACGUAUCCAAUAAUGGGGGAUAACUAGCCGAAAGGUUAGCUAAUACCGCGUACGCCCUGAGGGGGAACGCUGGGGAUCGUAAGACCUAGCGUUGAUGGAGCGGCCGAUAUCUGAUUAGCUAGUUGGUGGGGUAAGAGCCUACCAAGGCGACGAGCAGUAGCUGGUCUGAGAGGACGAACAGCCACACUGGAACUGAGACACGGUCCAGACUCCUACGGGAGGCAACAGUGGGGAAUUUUGGNCNNUGGGGGCAACCCUGNUCCAGCCAUUCCGCGUGAGUGAAGAAGGCCUUCGGGUUGUAAAGCUCUUUCGCAAGGGAAGAAAACUCGAUCUCUAAUAUANGUUGAGGCUGACGGUACCUUGAUAAGAAGCACCGGCUAACUACGUGCCAGCCGCCGCAGUAA
rnacentral:rRNA from 1 species